GUUUCAGCAGCCGCGGUAAUACGUAGGGUGCGAGCGUUAUCCGGAAUUAUUGGGCGUAAAGAGCUCGUAGGCGGUUUGUCGCGUCUGUCGUGAAGGUCCGGGGCUUAACCCCGGAUCUGCGGUGGGUACGGGCAGACUAGAGUGCAGUAGGGGAGACUGGAAUUCCUGGUGUAGCGGUGGAAUGCGCAGAUAUCAGGAGGAACACCGAUGGCGAAGGCAGGUCUCUGGGCUGUAACUGACGCUGAGGAGCGAAAGCAUGGGGAGCGAACAGGAUUAGAUACCCUGGUAGUCCAUGCCGUAAACGUUGGGCACUAGGUGUGGGGACCAUUCCACGGUUUCCGCGCCGCAGCUAACGCAUUAAGUGCCCCGCCUGGGGAGUACGGCCGCAAGGCUAAAACUCAAAGGAAUUGACGGGGGCCCGCACAAGCGGCGGAGCAUGCGGAUUAAUUCGAUGCAACGCGAAGAACCUUACCAAGGCUUGACAUGUUCUCGAUCGCCGUAGAGAUACGGUUUCCCCUUUGGGGCGGGUUCACAGGUGGUGCAUGGUUGUCGUCAGCUCGUGUCGUGAGAUGUUGGGUUAAGUCCCGCAACGAGCGCAACCCUCGUUCCAUGUUGCCAGCACGUCGUGGUGGGGACUCAUGGGAGACUGCCGGGGUCAACUCGGAGGAAGGUGAGGACGACGUCAAAUCAUCAUGCCCCUUAUGUCUUGGGCUUCACGCAUGCUACAAUGGCCGGUACAAUGGGUUGCGAUACUGUGAGGUGGAGCUAAUCCCAAAAAGCCGGUCUCAGUUCGGAUUGGGGUCUGCAACUCGACCCCAUGAAGUCGGAGUCGCUAGUAAUCGCAGAUCAGCAACGCUGCGGUGAAUACGUUCCCGGGCCUUGUACACACCGCCCGUCAAAC
rnacentral:rRNA from 1 species